UACGUAGGGGGCAAGCGUUGUCCGGAAUCAUUGGGCGUAAAGCGCGUGUAGGCGGUUUCGUAAGUCUGCUGUGAAAGUCGGAGGCUCAACCUUCGAAAGCCGGUGGAUACUGUGAGACUUGAGUACGGAAGAGGAGAGUGGAAUUCCUGGUGUAGCGGUGAAAUGCGCAGAUAUCAGGAGGAACACCGAUGGCGAAGGCAGGUCUCUGGGCCACUACUGACGCUGAGAAGCGAAAGCAUGGGGAGCGAACAGG
rnacentral:rRNA from 1 species